UGGGGAAUUUUGGACAAUGGGCGAAAGCCUGAUCCAGCAAUGCCGCGUGUGUGAAGAAGGCCUUCAGGUUGUAAAGCACUUUUGUCCGGAAAGAAAUCCUUGGCUCUAAUACAGUCGGGGGAUGACGGUACCGGAAGAAUAAGCACCGGCUAACUACGUGCCAGCAGCCGCGGUAAUACGUAGGGUGCAAGCGUUAAUCGGAAUUACUGGGCGUAAAGCGUGCGCAGGCGGUUCGCUAAGACCGAUGUGAAAUCCCCGGGCUCAACCUGGGAACUGCAUUGGUGACUGGCAGGCUAGAGUAUGGCAGAGGGGGGUAGAAUUCCACGUGUAGCAGUGAAAUGCGUAGAGAUGUGGAGGAAUACCGAUGGCGAAGGCAGCCCCCUGGGCCAAUACUGACGCUCAUGCACGAAAGCGUGGGGAGCAAACAGGAUUAGAUACCCUGGUAGUCCACGCCCUAAACGAUGUCAACUAGUUGUUGGGGAUUCAUUUCCUUAGUAACGUAGCUAACGCGUGAAGUUGACCGCCUGGGGAGUACGGUCGCAAGAUUAAAACUCAAAUGAAUUGACGGGGUCAUAGCUG
rnacentral:rRNA from 1 species